rnacentral:rRNA from 1 species
UACGAAGGGGGCUAGCGUUGCUCGGAAUCACUGGGCGUAAAGCGCACGUAGGCGGAUCUUUAAGUCAGGGGUGAAAUCCUGGAGCUCAACUCCAGAACUGCCUUUGAUACUGGAGAUCUCGAGUCCGGAAGAGGUGAGUGGAACUCCGAGUGUAGAGGUGAAAUUCGUAGAUAUUCGGAAGAACACCAGUGGCGAAGGCGGCUCACUGGUCCGGUACUGACGCUGAGGUGCGAAAGCGUGGGGAGCAAACAGGG